AAUAAGCGUCGCUUGUCGCUUCUUUCGUUCAUUUGCAAUCGAACCUCUUGAUGGGCGGGACGUACUCUGAAAAGUGCUGGAUUUAUUAUAAAGCCUCCCUCGCUAUAUCGCUUCGAGCGUCGAAGAGCACCCGCUAAAAGUAGCUCGCUGUUAUCACAAGCACAAUUUUAAUGGAGAUUGAGGAAGAAAGUAUGACAAAUAGCAAGAUUUAUUGUAACAACAGGAUUCUUCUUAUGAUCAGGAGUUUAUAUGGAGAUUGAGGAAGAAAGUAUGACAAAUAGCAAGAUUUAUUGUAACAACAGGAUUCUUCUUAUGAUCAGGAGUUCAUAUUUUCAUCUGGAAAAUGGAUGAGGGUGACCUCUAACCAUGAAGUGAAGUACAAUAUGAAUUAUAAUGCGAGAAAUAUGUGAACUGAAGUGUAUAUAUAUGAGAAACAGAUAAAUAUCAAUAUACACUGCACAAUCGCAAUGAGUGCAUUACAUUGAAGUUUCUUAUGGCGAGUUUCAUAAUCAAUAACAACACUCAUACAUGUGAUUUAUAUAGACACUAUUUGGAGAUGCGUCACUAAAUGCUACUCUAAUAUACAAGUGGAACAUUUCUAACGUAAAGAUGGACAUAGAAGACAAAAAAUAGAAGAAAUUACAUAUGUACAGCGAAUAAUGCAUGUUAUGGACAAGUAAUAAACAGUGAAAUAUUCCAUAGAAA